rnacentral:lncRNA from 1 species
AUCCCUCGGCACAGACGCCGCCGCUGCCUGUUGCGCCAUCAUCUCAUGGAGCUGCCCGAUCUGCUCCCCCUGAAGCCGCAUAGCCCAGGCCAAAGCCGCUACUUGGGCUCGCAGCUCACGCACGCCGUCCGACCCCGACUGCUCGGGCUCCUCCCGAGGCUCCGCCGGUGUGGACCUUGUAACUCUCCUUGGUGGUGCCAUCGCGUCCUGAAACGCAACACACACACAAACAUUAGUGCUCGAUGCACGUGACCCUUAUGCGUGUCACCUAACUACCCAAUUAAGCGAAAGCACAAGCCUAAUUAUUCCUACUCUCGGUGUUGUGUGGUCGGCCGCCCCACAAAGUCCCUUAAGUAGACAACAACUAAGCCUUAUAAUCCAUCUCUACUUCCUUCUAGAGAAGUGUUACAGUUAACCCAAUCACUCGCUUUCGCAUAACCCAAGUCCACGUCAAAUGUUUUCCUAAAUCCUACCAAACCUAUGGUUCCUAGGUCAUUCCUAGACUUUUGCUUUCAACUUCGCUCUGAUACCAUUAUAUCUGUCACGCCCCAAUCCCUGCCAAUUUGGGUCGGGUUCGGGUCACGUCAACAGACGCCGAACGGACAGAGUCUCCCCUGUCCGCCCAAGGCUUUAACAAUACAUAUAAUUAGGCAAUUAACAAGAGAAUUGCAAAUAUAAUACAAGGCUUGCACGAGGGCAAGCGACAACGGAAGCGAAAGCUCUAAGCUAAAUAUAGAUUACACAUGAUAUUUGAUUUCAUUUAAACCAAAUUCAAGUAAACAAAGCUAAUGUAAAACUAUUACAUUCCAUUCAACCAUCAUAUCUUUUUACAUUUAGUCAUCCACCAAAUACAUGAUUGGUUUCACUUUACAUACCUAAAUCAACAAAAUAAAGUUGAUACAUGUAUAACAAAAGGGAAUGACUACAAAAUGCAUAAAGUCCCCGGUGGCCGCUACCUACGGCGCCAAACCCUUGCCUCGGUCCUCCGCCGCCCCGCUCGUGCUAGGACCUGUAGGGUUAGUGGUGUGAGAACUACAACGAAGUUCCCAGUGGGCUCGGCAUCCGACCUCGCCGACUUACCCACUAGGUCUAUCCAGGCAUAAGUAUUUCAAAGGAAGAAAGGUAACCAUUACUAAUGCAACUAAUACUAUGCCUGCAAGAAAGAGACAAUAGAUAUACAAUUUCAAUGCGAAAAUGGAAAUGCAUGCAUGCUCCAAUCAUAAUCAAACUUUGGCUCUUACCCAAUCUUACCGGUUAACUCUGUUAACCCCAAUAACUCACAACCCAAAAUCCCUUAAUAACGGGGGACUCGAACCUCCCUAGGGACCGUCAACUGGUGGGACUUUACCACGCCCAGUGGUGACCAACUCCGGAGCGCACCGCUCGAGGGGGAGCGACCUCCCUCGAGCCAAGACGAAAGGUGAGUGUCGAUCUAAUCCUCAAUUUGAGGAUCCAUAGCCACUAGUCACAAUGCCAAUAUCACGAUAGGUCUCUACCUAUUUAUUUUUGCCACUUUCGAGACCUUAUCUUCGACCAUGUCCCUAUGGGUUAAACUAUUUCCAAUGGUCAUCUCUCAAUGCAAUUCUUGUUUCUAUGUCAAUGACACCCUUGUUUUCUAAUGUCCAAGUCCAUACUUAUGUUCACACAUCUCGAGGGCCCAAUCACACAUGUCCGUUUUGGUUCUAUCAUUCUUCUACGUUCAACUACUUUAGAAGCAUAAAAAUGAAAUCAAACCAAGUUCCACAUGUAGCUACCCUACUAUGCAUGAAUGGGUAUAUAUAUAUAUAUAUGCUCAAAAAUAGGGAAAUAGACAUAGAGGGGAAUCCAACGAUUCCGGCGUGCACCCCCCACCUCUGUGAGUCGUGUGGGUGUAGAAUAUUAAGGCCCCCGCACUUUACGAAAGCCGAUUCCGCGCCCUAUAAUCAAAUAGUGCCAUAUUAGGCCUUUUUGUACAUGAACUAUACUCUAACAUUUUCGAAAUAUUAAACGAAGUUGUCCGAC